rnacentral:lncRNA from 1 species
UUUAUUUUAUUCCAAUCCAAAAUAGUGCUAUUCAUGCAUGAAAGUAAAUGGAUUUUUCUUCCGGAAAACAACAGUUCAAUAGUAUAUGAAAAGAUGUGCCCUGUCAAAAGGGAGGAACUUGUGGUUCUGAUUACAUUUAUUCAAGUUUCUUUCAAUAUCUUUUAGGCCCAUCGCAGGCCAGAAAAAUGCAUUUCAUGUCUAUCUCAUUCAAUGGAAAAGAAGAGGACAAAGAAUAAUGAUGUUAUAAUCCAUAUUAAACUUGACUAGGGCAUUAGUUUGGAUCGCUGAAGAAACCGUUGAUUGAUGGCAUAAUCUCCGGAGACUUGUUUCGAACAAACUUCCUUAGAGCAUGCUCUGCAUAUUUCUCCCCUUCUGAAAAAUUAUCCAGCACUCCUGCUGCCCUGUUUUCUGGUUGGUGCAUAUAUUGCAUUCCACAGAUCCCUACAGCAACGCCUACGGCUGCAAAAAGUGGAUACACCUCGGGCCUCAGCCAUCGGAAGCCAUAGAAAAACGGGGGAAAGAACACGCAAACUUUACGAUCUUUUUGAGACUCUUGAUGAUGAUGACCUGAUUAAUCUUUUUUUAAUUUACCUUCUUAUGUAUUUAAAAUUUAAAAUAAUGUGACACAAAUUAUACUUGUUCACUAAAAAAUACAUACUAUUUUUAUAUCUUGAAUUUGCCAAUUCGGGCUCGUGCUUUAGCGCGGUAGUAAAAAUGAGCAAAAAAAUAAUCAAAGAAUAUUUUUAACAAAAUAGGUAAAUAAAAGCUAUAUUUAGACCUUAAAUCGUAUUAGACAAGUUCUAUGCGAUACGCUCGACUCAGACAGGGGCGAAGCUACGUAAGUCCAAGGGAUGUCACGUGACACUGCUUCGUCAGAAAAAUUUACUAAAUAUAUGUAUAUAAUUAAAGGCAAAAGGAGAAAUAGUGAAUAUAUUAUAUACAGUGACACUCCUUGACACAAACGGGACACACAACUUAGCUGGUCAGACACGUGAAUUCGAAGGGCUAGGUUUUGUGUUCAAAUGUAGAUCUUGUAAUUUUUUUAUACAUUUGAAGUUCUCCAUUCACCCAUCUUAUAUGCUUAUUUUUUAUGUUUUUUUUUUUUCCCUUUUACCUUCUUUCUCACUAAUGAAAUUAAUUAAAAAUAAUUUAUGAAACAUUUAAUAUUAUUAAUUUUAAAAAGUUUAUUUUGAAAAAUAUUUCUUUUUAGAAAAGGUAUAAUAGUGAGCGCGAAUUGUAUUUUAUUUUUUUCUUUCAAAAAAAAAAAAUGACAUCACAUUAUUUUAUUUAUCGUGUUUCAUUUUAAAAGGUGACACCCUUUAUAAAAAUUCUACGUACGCCACUGGACUCAGAAGACAUUGAAAGGAGAUAGAUCUCAAGUCAUUCGUGUGGAUGAUCACCCUCUAAACCAACUGAGUCAAUCCCAAAAGGACCUUGAUUUCAAAGGUAUCAUACAAGUUUCUUUUGUCAUGACAUGAUUGAAGUAUCAAAAUAAUGGCUUACACCAUGUUGCGAGAAAUUUUGAACAAAGUUAAUUUUUUUUUAUAACUUUGACAUGUUUAAUUUUUUUUAAAAUAGAGUCAUCACUUAAUUUUAAAAAAUUAAGAAAAUUAUUUUAAAGUUAUUUUUUUAAAUAAAAUCAAAAUUGGAAAAGGGUUCGAAUUAUUUUCAAAAGAAGGUGUGAGAUACUUUUGAAAACCCACAAAGUGACACCCAACGGAUUUAAACAUAAACAUUUUUUUCGCUAAAUUAAGAGAAAAACUUUAUACAUAAAAACAAACCUUAUUUGAAGUGAAAAUAAAUUAUUUUUGAAUUCAUUAAAUACUUAAACCAAAAUUCAGUAUUCGAAACUAUUUCAUACAUGUAUUAUGUAAAAGAAAUUUGGUAAAACAAAUUGAAGCAACAAUUUCAUGUGUAUGAGUAUUUGUUGUAUCAUUGAUAAAAAGAAAAAAAAAAAAUCAAAUAUCUUCUCAUUUUUCCUAGCAUCAGAAAUCUUUUUCCAUAAAUAUAUAUAAUCUUAACUCAGAUAUAUAUACACUUUAACGAAUACAUAAACUUUUAAUUAGAUAUAUAUGUAUAUUUUAUCGAAUACAUGUACGUCAAAUCAGAUAUAUAUUUUGAUCACUAUCUCUCUUUCUCUCCCCCUUUGUCUCUCUCUUCUCUCCGGCAAGAGACCAGCGCCACCUCACUACUCGUUUCCUAACCAUCAAAAACACAAUUGAACCAGUGGGGAAUCCUCUGUUCCUCUCUGCUCUUCUCCUCACCACCAAUACCCCAACAAGCCAUCAAAAUCCCAACUAUACUCCGUCUCUAGUAGAUCUCAAGGAAAUGCCGGUGAAAAGCAAUACAAUCAUCCUUAUACUUUCUUUUGAAUAUUCCUACAUGUGUAAGGUAUUAGUAUAAUAUAAUUAAGACGUUUCAUAAAAAUUCAAAGACAUAAUAUCCUAUUGAAUGAGUAGACAUAAAUCAAAGUCAAAUAAAUAAUGAAUAUCAAUUACCACAAGCUAAAUAUCAAAAUCGAACUUUCAAAUACCAUACUAUACCAAAUUAGUUUGACAUGAUAAUCAUGUAAUAUUUUUAAGAAAAUAAAAUUAUCGAAUCAAAAUUCUUAAUAUCCGUACCAUAUCCACCCCCACCUACAAGUUAGUAAAGUGGGUGUAAACUUUUGUGACCAGAAGGGGAAAAAAAGGGCAUUAAUUUUAUCACGAUUCACGACCUAGAAUUUACGAACGAGAUAAUCGCAUUAAUGUACUAUAUAAGACUUAAUACGGGAAUAACAUGAGUUUUCACUUUCAAAAUAUAACAAUAUAAUUUUAUCAAAAUCUAACAAAGAGGUUUAAAAAAAUGGUAAAACUAUUUUCUUAAAACAUGGAAGUAACAUUCUCCCUUGAUAUUUAUUCCAUAAAUUUCUCCAAAAUUUUUGCAUUCCUCUAUUCUCUCCUUUGAAUAAAAAUACAAAGGCAUGCUAAAUUAUUAUUUCUCCUUCAAAUACGAUAACCAAUAUUUUGCUUGACAUUUAUCCCAUAAAUUUCUCCUAAAUUUUUGUCUUCUAAUAUUCUUUACUUAGAAUAAAACAAAAGGCAUGACAAAUGUUUUUCUCUUCAAAAACGAUAGUCAAUAUUUUUCAUGUCACUUAUUUCAUAAAUUUCUCUUAGAUUUUUGUCUUUCCUUGCUCUCGAAAUUUUUUAUUAUAUAUGAGACAUGUCAAAUCAUACUUGUAUAAGGCAUUAUUUGAUUGAUAAAUGGACUGAAACCUAUCUGUCAAGUGACAAAGGGCAUCUAUUAAGUCCUCUACGCCUUUUUUUUUUGUUUUACACUAUUUCAAUAUACUUUUUGUUUUCAUUUUUUUAAAUGUCUUUUUCAUUCUUAACUAAUCUAAUUAGUUUGUGUUUUUUUUUUUUUUUUUACACUUAUAUUUCAAUAUAUUUUUUGUUUCCAUUUUUGUAAUUUUUUUUUUCAUUCUUAACUAAUCUAAUUAGUUUAUGUUUUUUUUCUUUUUUUUAUGUAGGGGAUUUUGAUUUAAUUUUUUAUGAUCAUUGUAUAAGUUUUUAUUCUAUUAUAUUAAUUUUUUUUCUAUUCUAUGUUAUUUAUUCAUAUUAUAAUAAAUAGUUGUCUGUAUUUAAUUUUCCGUUUAUAAAAUCAAGAUACAAGUAAUUUUUUUUAAUUCUAACAAUUAUUUUUUGUUUAAAGUAUAAAUGAAAUUUGUAAAGUCGCAAAAAGUCUUUUAAGGAAUAAAUUAAUAAAAUUAUCAUUUUUAUUUAUAACUUCCUAAGAAACGUGUAAGGAAAGUAGAUAAAUAAAAUAUUUAUUAAAUUUCACCUAGCUUGAAUUUAAGGAAUAAAAGAUAUAGUAAAUAUUGACGGAAAGAUUAUGUAUUUAUGUGGGUGUUUAUGGAUAUUUUUCAUUUUUGAAUUUCGUGAAAAUAGUAUCAAAACUUACGCAAUUGUUUGUCAAAUCAUUGAUGCUCUUUCCGUUAUAUUUUCUUAUUGAAGAAUAUUUGAUGGAUUUGAAGUGCUUAUGAAAACAUGAAAUUUUCUAGAGAAGAAAAAAAAUAACAAAUUAAUUUUAUACCUUCUUUGUUUUUCAUAUUAAUAAUCUACUCUUUUUUUUACGAAUUUCUUAAGAAAUCAUAAAUAAAAUAAAAGUUUUACUAAUUUAUACCUUAUUGUUUUUUAACUUUAUAAAUCUUAUCUACACUUUCAAAAAGAAUUACUAUAAUAACAUAGAAAAUUUGUAAUUAAUUAUAUCUUAAUUUGUAAAUUAACAAAUAAUUUUAUAUAACUAUUUUUAAAAAUAUAAAUAAUUAGUAUCGAGAUGGAAAAAUAAUGUCAAAAUGUUAGAAAUAGAAUGAAUCAGGCAAGCAUUUUUUGAUUUCAUACUUUUCAUGAAUAAAAUUAUUGAAGUAUGGAAGUGCAGAAUUUGGAACAAUGGUUGGAAAAGAAAUCAAACAAAAAAAAAGUAAGAGGGGGAAAAUGUCAUAAAGAAAGAGAGAGAAAGGGGAAUUUUGGCCAUUUUUUGAAAUGGGACCCAAUUAUCCACUUGUCAAAAAAUAAAUAGAGCCUCAUACAAGUUUUGUUUACCACAUCAUAUAUGUGCCUCAUUCAUUACUUAAUUAAAUUCACUUCAUUAAGAAAAUCAGUUUGUAUUUAUGGGGAAAUAUCCCCUCUAAUGAAAGUAUAUCCAGUAUUGUUCAGUAACUUUGUUGAAUUUUUUGCCAUAUGUCCAUCCAAAUCUUCUAUGAUUGAGAUUCAAUCUUGUUCUAUAUAAUUGAAACUGAUAAAAUUAUUAUGGACAUAAAUAAUAAAAAAUUACUUUAGGCUAACGACAAUUGUAUCGUCCCAAUUCAUUAUGUUGUUAUUAACAUACUGACGAUAAAAUGUGAGUUUGAAAAUUGAGUUAUCUAGCCAAGAUAAGUUGGGCUUCAUCCCGUCAUGGCUAACGAAAAUUUUCUUUUAUGCAGGAAAAAAUUGGGGGAUGUCGCCUAGGAUCACUAUAGCUAUAGCGGGAACUGUUGUAGAUGGUCUUAAGUCGUUAGAGUAGACAAUGGCCCCAAGGAAAUUAACCUUUUUUUCUUUUUAGUCCAAAUUUUAAAAAGGUUGACUCCUCCUAAAAAUGCCUUAGGGCUAUUCUUAAGGAAAAAUCCUUAAUAACAUAGAGGCAAGUCUCUCAAGAAACGCGUAUCAAGACCUCGUCUUUACAAAACUCUUCUCUAGUCUCGCUAGAACUUAAUCAAGAGACGAGAAUUCAUGUGCUCCACAUCAACAAUUUGGCAUUCAAGUGAUCAAUAAUUUAUGAUUAGUAAACUAUGAUUAGAAGACACACACACAUAUAUAUAUAUAUAUAUAUAUAUAUAUAUAUAUAUAUAUAACCUAGAUUUGAUGGGAGAAUCAUAAUUAGGCAUGUGGGCACCAUGUUUGAACGUGCACAAGUAGACACUUAGACUUAUAUAAAAUUAAGCAAAUAUACACAUUCGUCUUACAUGACAAUUUUGUGUCCUACAUGAUGUCCUACGUGUAUUGUGCCAUGUAGGCCACUUGUGUCUACUUGUUCAAUUUUAUAUAAGUUUAAGUGUCUACUUGUGCACAUUCAAAGUUGGAGGUCAUAGUUCUUCGCUGAAACCAAGUAAAGGGUCAUGUAUAUGUAGUAUGUCAAACAUUUAUGAAUCCUUUGAUAAGUGUUUUAUAAGGUGAAUAUGUAAAUGUAUGUAACACUAGAGGAACAACAUGAACUUGUAACCUCAGAAUUAGGUAUAAUUACCAUUAACAAGGGUGCACUUGUCAUAGUGAGGGUGUAACCUUAUUACUUAAUCAUUACUAGGCUAUUGAUCAUGAUAAGAGCAGAAGAAUUCGUGUGGUUAAUAGGAGUUAGACUUGAUUUAGAUUCAUGUAUACUCUAAAGUUGAAUGUUUGUUGAUUGGUCUUCAGACAUGAUUAAGAGCCUGUUUAGAUUAACUUUGACUUAUUUUUAUCAUAUUAGCUUAAAAUCAAAUUCUUAUAAAUACUUUUUAAAUUUACCUAAACACUCUAAAAAUAGUUAAAAACUAUUUUUUACUUAAAAACACUUAAAUAAGUCAAUUCAUGCAGGCUGAACUUGAUGAUGUGAUUUUGAUGCUUAAAAUUGCAUGGGUUAUCACUUGAUGAAAUCAUUGAAUUCCUUGUGUUAUAAGUAUAUUUAUAACUAUCGUAUAGUGAGUUUUAUGUGUGAGAGUCGUAAUGAUAACAUGGGCAUUAUAGUGUGACAAGUGGCUUGAAGUUGAGGUGAUCUUAUGGACGAGUGUUAUAUAUAUAUAUAUAUACACACACACACACCUCACCGCUACAUAUAUAUUUUUCAUAAUUUGGUGGGUCGGAUACCACACUGGUAUGGUACAUGAACGAAGUUGUUCCGCUGCAAUUCAUGAUUAUUUGACAUAAAUAAGACCCUUAGUGUGUGUACACUUUAUAAUUGUUGUGUGAGUUGUUAUUGAAUUUUAUGAGUUGUUUGAUAUGUUGAGAUACUUGAUGACUAUUUUACCUGUUAUAUGACAUGAUUUAAUCUGUUAUGGCUAUACUUGUUUUUUGAAGAAUUAUUGCUAUGUGUUGCAUGCAUGAUUAUAUAGUUGGUGUGGCUAAUCACUAAAUAUACUUAUCGUAAAAUAAAGGCUUAAGGGUUAUAAUGUUAAGUUUGAUGACUGAGGGUGAGUGGGGUGAUAUAUGAUGUUCAUGUUAAGUUUGAUGGCAGAGGCUUGAGGGUUAUAAUGUUAAGUUUAAUGACUGGGGCUUGAGGGUCAAUCAUUAUGGUGUAUUGAUAGUACUCUUGCUACAUCCUUUGUGGGGUUUAGAUAUGUUGCAGAUUGACUAGAAGUCUCUUAUGUGAAGCGGUGAAUAAUCAUUCUCAUAUUUUGUGUAUUUCUUUCUGGCGAAAGUUAAGUCUUUUCUUGUCGUAUUCUAUUUAGAGGCUCUUAUACAUACCUAGAAUAUAUCUUAAAAGUUUGUUGUUAGGAUGUAAUGACCCGAUCCGUCAGUAUUCAAGUGCACCUCGCGCCAAGUCCCAUUUUUUUGAAUUUUGAUGCCCAAUUAAAAAUUGGAGCAUAUAACAAAAUUAUUUAAAAUUAGAUUGAUCUGGACUGACGUCUACCCACCUUAGAAGGAAAUCUUCCGCUAUGGCGGCGCCACUAUAGCACCUGCAUGACCGCUAUAGUGGGGCUGACGAGAUCAACCCCUAAUUAAUUCAAUGUUUUUUAUUUUCCUCACUUUACAAGGAGAAAAUAAGCGAGGGUUACUCUAAAAAUUUCCCCAAUCCACCUUAAGCACGAGGGCAUGAACGGGAGAGAUGUUCGCACAAGUAAGGGCAAGACCCAAUAAUUUUUAGUCCACACUCGUCAGGGUUCACCCCAAAGAGUUGCAAUCAGAGUUCUUCAAAUGUUGUUUGGCGCUCAGGUAGACUAGAACUUCUUAACUAAGUAGUUAGACCUAUAUCUACCCAUGUGAUAUUGUGUAGACUAUCGAGAGAUAUACAUGCAUAAUUCUUCGGGCACAGAGUCUAGAUGGUAGAACUUUUGGCAUAAUUCUUUAGGCACGGAGUCUGGAUGGUAGAACUUCUGAUUAAAUGUGGUUAGGUUGAUGAUGUAUGUCACAAUCCAAGGGUACUCCCUAGAUGUAACAAGGGAUAUAGAACCCCGGAGGACUCCAUAUAAGUCACUUAGCAUAUCAUAACAUAAAGUACUAGAAUAAUAAAGAGUAAAACAACAUUUAAGUCCAAAACAUCUUUAUAGAAAAACGGAAGUCUAACUCAUGUCUCAACAUAGUCAUCUAUUACAAUAGAAUGAAAGUGGGCCUAGCCCACACAUCAUGUUCAAAAAGGAAAUACAAAAGUGAAACUACAAUAAGGAAAGUCCGUCCUCGAACCAUAAGGACUCACCAAGCUCGGAAAGAAAUCAAAGUCCAAGCUCUAGCCACUAGAAUGGAAACCCUGCCUGUCGGACCCUACAUUUGGGAGAAUGUAGGAAAUAGUAUACGUUAGUAAAAAAAUGCACUAAGUAUGAUAGCUUUGCAUAAAAACAUGCAAAUCAUGCUAAAAAGGACAUUUUAUUUCAUGAUAUGCAAUUUACCAAGUUUAAACAUCAUAGUAGAAAUAAUUGAAAACAUAGGUCAUAACAUCAUGGUCAAUGCAAGCUAAAUCAUCUUUAAGUCUUUGAAACACAUAUGACAUACUUCCUUAAUUAACUUUAGUUCAUUAGUCAUCUUAUUGUGGGAGAAUUAGCCUUAACCGAUAUAGAGACCAUGUGAGCUAAAACAUGAUCACCCGGUGUCUCCCACACCGAAAAGGGUUGUUCUACUUGCCUAAGGUAGAACCAUAAACUUCUAGCUUAAGUGGAUCCACUAGCUAAUCAACUUAUGGGGGGACAUAGUUAUGGGAUAAGGAGAUUUCUACUAGAAACCCGGCCUCUACUCACGGGAGAGCUUCCAUCUCAUGAGACUUUUUCUAGAAACCCGGCCUCUACUAGCAGGAGAGCUUCCAUCUCAAUGUCAAUAACCACUCGGUGCUAAGUAUAAUUCCCACGGAAUAGUAGUUUCUUACUUAUUCUCAUUAUCCAUGGAAAGGCAUGUCAUUUUGCCAAUCUAACUAGUUCAUUAGGAUAGCUCUCAUUCAUUGAUUCAAUUAGGUGAGAAUAGCCUUUCAACCUAAGAAUCCUUUCUAUGUGAUAAAACCUUUCACAUCAUGGUUGUAAGUGUUUUAUGAGAUAUCCUUUCAACAACACAACAACAACAACAACAAUAUAGACACUUUACUCUCAAAGCACCCUUAAAGCAUUUACAUAGGUUUCAUAAGAUCAUGCAUAAACUCAUACAUUUCCCUUUCAAGGUUCAAAGCUACUUCCAAUCACCAAAUCUAGAAUUCUAGCAUUAGAUAGGGAUUUUAUCACAAAUUCAUGUAAUUCUAUUACUUCAUGCUUUCGAUCACAAAACUCAUCUUUCAUAGUCAACAACCCAACUCUAUGAGAUCACAAUUCGAAAAACAUGGAGGUUUGCAUGGGUUCAUAGGGGAAACAUCAUAAAAUCAUUGUAAAUCAUAUAUUCAUGCAUAUUUAAACAUAAUUCAAUCAUUAAGAUCAAUAAUCAAAAGAACCCAUGAUGUUUGAGGAAAAUCUUAGCUAAUUGGGGAAUCCUAUCAUAUGAAAUAUAGGAAUUGGGGACUCCAUGGGUGGAAGGAACCCAUGGAUGAAAGCUACCAUACCUCAGGUCCAUUUGCCUAUCUUCAAUAGAGAAUAUGGAUCCUUAGCUUCAAACCCUAGUUGAAUCUUCUUCUUCUUCAAGUUCUAGAGGGAGAAUAUUUGAGAGGAGUUGGUUUUCUUUUGAGAUUUAAGAAGAAUGAAUUAAAUGGGGUGAAUUUGGGGUAAAAAGACUUAUAUAGGGGUUCUAAAUAUAGGCAAAAUGACAUAGUAUAAAAAUUAAUUAAUUAAGAAAAGACUCAACUGAACUUGAAAUUAACUGCCAGGUGACCAUCCAAGGGCCCAGUCGACGGACCGUGGUCUGACCCACGGCCCAUCUUAGUGGACCGUUGGUCACCAUCAGAGAGGGUGAUCUCCGGGGUCUCGAACCAUGGACACCUGACCAUGGACCGUGGUCUGACCUACGGUCCAUAUGUCGUGUGGUGGCCUUGAGCCCUUAAAUCUUACCAGGCAUGCCAACCACGGACCACCCCUAUGGUCCAUGGUCCACUCCACGGGCCGUGGGUGGCCGGCGUGGUCUGGCACCUGUAACUUUCUGUAAAUCUGCUAUUUUGGUCUUUUUGAAUAUGGGGUGUUACAAUGUAACUGAUUAGUUGUGAUUGGCCUAUUGAUGUUGCUGAGUGUUAUUUUGGGGAAGAUAACAGUGCGUAAUCAGAUUUGAGCAGGAAAACUUUGGAAAGGAAUCUUUCGGGUAGGGGAUAGUUGUUUCUUUCACAUGUAUGCUUUAGGCGCUUGUUAACCGCAUCAUUAGUAAUGCAUACUUGAUAGGUGAUCGGGAUGUUGGAAAGGAAUAAUAUGAAGUGAAAGAUGUUGUCAAUUGCGUGCAAUGAGUGUAUUACAUGAAUGUACAUGUGUUUUUUGUAAUUUUGUGGUGGUGUCCUAUUAUGUAUAUAUAUUUACUAGAUCAGGUGCCACGCCGACACACACACAUACACAUAUAUAUAUAUAUAUACACACAUAUAUUAUUAUUAUUUGAUUGGGUUCCACGCGGGCACACACAUUUAUACUUAUUAGAUUGGUGUCUUGCCAGCACAAACUUAUUAUUAUUGGAUCGGAUGUCACACUGGCAUAUAUAUAAUUAUUGGAUCGGAUGCCAUGACGACAUAUAUAUAUAAAUAUAUGAUCGCAUGUCACACUGACACAUAUAUUACUAUUAAGUUGUGUGUCACGCCGACCUAUAUAUAUACAUAUAUUAUUGGAUCGGGUACUGCACUGAUACAUGUAUAGUUGUGGGUGGUUUGUUCCAUAAGGUACUGGUUUGUGUGUUUAAAAUUUAGAAUGUUCUCUUGUGUGGAUCGGGAUGACAUGUUAAAUGUUGUAGGUGAUGACUUCGAAUUCUUGAAGUUCGGGAAAUUUUAUAAUAAUGGAAUGAAAUUGGUUAUUUAUGUUUGGUAAGUUGGGAUACUCAUUCACAUACUGUAUAAUGGAAGUGUGUGAGGUAAGGAGUGACAAGAAGUAGCAGUAUGAUGUUUGGGGAAUUAUUGUGAAAUAAAAGGGUUACGCUAUAAUCUAGUGUGAAUGGAAUUGGCAGUGGAGGAAAUAUGAUGUGUUGAGUUUGACUUAAGGACUACAUGUAGUAAGGGUGGUGAAUUAGUACACCGGGGCCCUAAAUUUAUAUUCAAUAUACAUGGUUCUUUGGAUAUUUUUGCAUGAUAUUAUGUAGUGGGGUAAGGUCGAUUGAUGAUGCCUACCAAUACAUGUUGUUUGUACUGAUACUCCUCUUUCGAUGUCACUUGGCAUAGUCUAGUUGUAGGAUUCAAUAAUGUUUCAUAUGUGAAGAUGAUGAUCUUCUACUAUUCUUUCCUUAUGGUGGGAACUAUCUUAUUUCUUUUUAUGCAUUGUAUAUUCUUAGUAGAUCUUGUACCUAUUUAAACUAGCUCCUUGGGAAGGUUUUACAAUUGUUUGUAAAAAGAUAAUUCUUAUAAUAUAGUUUAUGUUUAUUCAAGAAUUAUCUUGAAAAAUAAUUCUUCCUGUUUUCUCUCAGCGCAUGUUAAGCAAGGCUAGCUAACGUUCACUCAUCGACAAUGGGAAGAACCCGGAAGAACAAAACUCAGGUAGCGAAAAACAACAUGAUCAAGGAAGCAGUGCAGGCCAGUCAAUCAAAACUGAAAACACCAAUUUCGGGAGGGGCUGGAGGAACGAAUGGAACAGUAACACCGGUAAACUCACAUCUAAUGAUAGAGAAGAUGAAGAUAAGGUUGGGGUCAGGACCGUCUGAGGAAUUUCCAAAAGUAGGGGCUCUGAGCUUAGAUCCAAAUUUGGAUGAGGCCAAGGGUACAGAAGCAACAAGGAAAAAUGAGCAUAGGGUACCAGGGAGGAAGACUUAGAAGGGGCUAUUUCAAGCUACAAACCUAGGAGCAAAGGGGAUGGAAUUGAGCUUUGUACCUCCAGUGCUCCAAGAAGGAAAACCGGUGGUGAAAUUAAGCAAGGAAGAUGUAGAAAUCAGGAGUGAAAUAUGGAGUAAUGCUGUCAUACUCUAUAUGAUAGGCAACACACAAAUCCAUUGGAGCUAUUAUGAGACUCAUUGCAACAGAGUGGUACUUCGUGGCGAAACCCAAAGUAUACCUGCAUAAUUAUGGUUUUUUUGUUGUGAAGUUGAAUAACAUUCAUGAUAAGAACUCCAUCUUAGUAACAGGUCUACACAUGUUCAAUAAUCGGCCUAUCAUAUUGAAAAAGUUGGACUGCUGAUUUUGAUUUUAAUAAGAAUGUAUUGAGAUAUAUUCAUUUUUGGGUGCAAUUCCCAAAUUUGCCGUUGCAUUACUGGGGAUUGGCUGCGUUGAGUAAAAUUGGUAGUGCUCUGGGGAAGCCUCUGUAUGCGAAUGAAUGUACGUCAGGAUUUGGGAAAAUAUCCUAUGCUAGGUUGCUCAUAGAAAUGGAUGUUACUAAGCCGCUACCAAGACUUGUAGAGAUUUUUUAUCCAAAUGAUAGUAAGAUGCAACAGAAGGUGCAAUACGACUGGGAGCCAAUCUAUUGUACUACGUGUUGUAUUGUUAGACAUAGUUGUACUGAGCUCCAUAAAAAAGAACAGAGGAACGAGGAAGGAUACAAGCAGCAGUGCAGGGAUAAAGUAGAGCAACAAUGGAAGCCACAAGAAAGGAAUCCUAUGGAAACUACAGGUGUCCAGACUCAAAAAACAACAAAUCAGAACACACACUACUAGAAAUUUGAUCUAUUGCCACAGUUCAUGUACCAUUGCAAUAGACUUUCCUACCGUAGCCAUUGGUCUAACGCCACGGUUAAAGCAACCGCUACAACAGAUCGCAUAGCAAUAGAUCUGUUGCUACGGUUAUGUGCGACGGUUCAAAAAACCGUAGCAGUAGAUAGACCUAUUGCCACAGUUUUAAUUUUAAUAAGUUGCCAACGCUUAGUGUCGUAUUGCUACGGUUAUGAACCAUUGGAAAAGAGUUUUGUACAUCAGUUCUUUUGAGGCUAUGGCUACAGUUUUUUUUUCUAUUCAAAAACCAUUUCAUUCUAUUGCGACGGUUGUUAUAGGGUAAUGCAACAAUUUUUAACGAAUAUAAAUGUUGUUCAAUGGCUAUUGCUACGGGUAUUACAGAGUAAUGCGAUAGCUAUUACAUGGUAAUGCAACGGUUAUUACAAGGGACUGCAACAAUUUCUUAAUAUAUAUAUAUAUAUUAUUGGUGCACUUCCAUAAAUAUUAUAUUAUUGAGAUAUUGUAGUAAUUUUAUAACAUAAAAUACACAUAAAUCGUUCACGAGAAGAAAUGUUCAUUACCAAAAUUAUAAUUCAAGAUCCAUAAAACCAAAAUAUAUAUACAACUAUUUUUUUACCAUUCAAAAAAGGUGAAACACAAACAUGCACCACACAGUUUUCAAUCUUCAAAAAUAAAAGAUUUCUAGAACAUCAGUAAAGUUAACAUUAACAAUAUUUCAGCUUCUAUGUCAAGUCUUCACUACUGCUUUCAUCGCCUUCUUCGAUUUCAUCACCUACAUACAAUUAGAAAAAAUAUAAAUAAUUUAGCAAUUUUUCGCAAAAGCUUAAUGGUUCCACAGUAGUCAUAUAUUACAAAGUUAUUACUCUAUAUCUAAGACAUACAUAUAAACUCAAUAAACUCAAAUAACAUUAAACUAUAUAUAUGGAGUAUGGACUAAUCUCAAACUUUUCCGCAACUUCAUUGUUGCCAUAGAUGCUUCAGCUUGGGGAGUUGGAAGUCUAUAAUCCCAAAAUGAAUGCAUGUAUCUCAUCCCAACUGGAGACGGUGUAAAGAAUACCAUACAUCCCCCUCCAACCAGAACAACUACCUUCAGCUAGUUCUAUCUGUUUUGUUACCAAACCAGAGAACAAAGGAACAAAAGAAAUACCAAACUGGUCGCCAUCAUGUAUGUGUAAUGUUCAUGACUUCUAGCUAAUAAUAGAAGAUAAUGGAAGCAAAGGAACCAUAUGGACAAUGACAACUAGUUCAAAUUAAGGUUUAGUUGUUGUUUUUACUGUUACAUUAAAUCUGGUGCCUGUCAGGAAUACUUUUAGUUCAGUAGAUACUCUCUACCCUACAAAGAUAAGGGUAAGGUCUGUCUCCUACACUUCCUAGACCCCACUAGUAGGGAUUACACUAGGUGUAUUGUUGUUGUUUGUAGAAAUAAUGAGAGACAAAGAUGGACUAGUGCAUACAACAUGGGUAUAGACUCAUAGCAGCCAACCUCUAUCGACACUCCAACAGUGUAUUCAGGACCUUCAAAGGCUCACAAAUCAACUGGAAAUCUUAAAGUGCAAUCACAUAUAUAGAGAGGCAAACUGUACAACUGACUUUCUAUCUAAAUGGUCCGACAUUCUACAACAAUUACACCUACCAGCAGCUGCCCAGGUUGGCCAAAGGAAGCCAUGUUUUAGAAAAAUUGGGUUUGACUAAUUUAGUGGUAUGAUACCCAAUAGGUUUAUCUACAAGCUAUAUACUUAAGAUAUAAAAAGAAUCUGCAUUUUCAUAUUUCAUGUAAUAAACAAUCACAAGAUGCCACUUCUGAUGAACAUAUCCUAGAAUAUAUAGUGAAGAAGUGCAAUUGAUUUAGAAUAGUAGAUGCAUCUCUCAUUUGCAUUAAACACAACAUAUUUCGGGAUUCAAAGAAUCUAUCAAAAAAUCUGCACUAUUAACAACCAUUUACAGUUAUUGUUCUUGCCUUAAGUAGUUGGUUCUUUCAUGUUACUCAUCCCACUAUGUCACCUAAAUUGGGAUUAAUGAUGUCUAUGUUUUUCCAAAUAUAAUUUACUUCCAGUCUUUAAGAGAGGAUAUGUAAGGUUGAAACAAGUUCCCCACUUAAAUUUUAUGGUAUGCAUAACUAGUCUUUGUAAACAGGUUGGACUUGGGAGCAACUUUGGCUCAUGAAAUGAUGCACACUUGGAUGAAGAUUCAAGGUGCUUUCCAGCUUUCUACUAUAAUCUAUAGUUGGUUUUGUCUAAUUUAAACUACAAAUAAUGGAAAAUAAACUAGUGAACAGCAUUCCUAAUAAAUCUGUCUUUUUCUCUACGAUAUAUAAGGUAUGAGGGGCUGUCCCUAAACAUCGCAGAAGGUAUUUGUGAAGUUAUAGCUCACAAGUGGAUAGAAUGGCAAUCUUUUACUGGUGAUGAAAACAUAAGAAGGUACAAGUGAACAAGCUCAGUUCUUUAGAAAUCUGAAAGAGUUUCUGAAAGAUGGAAUUGAAAAAAGCCAUUCAAGCAGACUAUUCUAUGUGUAAAAUUCUUUUUGGAUAGGUUUAAGUUGUGUUGUUUCAACACAAUUUCACCACAAAUAAGCUCCACAAUUUAGUACAUGGCACUUCAAAAUAAAAAUGCAGUUUUCAGCACAUUCACAUUUUCAGAGCACAUUCAAAAUUUCUGCAGAUUUUGGCUAGGACUCUAAAAACUUCACAAUAAUAAUCUGUACAAUUCAGCAUAAUCUGCACAAAAAUAAUCUGCACAAUGCCCACAUCUGCAUUGAGCAGGCAAAGAAAGUCACCAACUGAACCUCCAACGUAAAUUGUACUAAACUAUAGUAACUCAUAGAAGGUCUUUGGUUUAACCCUCCAUAUCACCAUCAAUAGGAAAAUGAAGAAGAAGAGCAAAAAAAAGAGUCGCAAUAGAGAAAUAAACAAAGUCGCAACAGAGAAAGGAAAUAGAGUUGCAAGAGAAACAUAAAGAAGAAGAAGAAACACUCAAAACAUAGAAUUAGCGACACCAACCUUGCUCAGCCCCUUGAACAGAAGUAGGUUCGCUUGGUGAAGGAAUGGACAAUGCUGCUAGUAUGUUAGGAUCAAUUAAUCCCGCAUGCUUGAGUUGUGCAAUUACAUCUGCAAUAACUUCUUGUCGCACAGUUUUCUUUUGUUCCUCCAUUUGUUUCACCAUUUUCUGCAUCCUUUCUUGCAUUUGCUGCAUUCCAUCAGUUGUUGCAUUUAAAGUUGAUUCCGAAUUGCCAACUUUUUUUUUCAAAGUAUUCUUUGUAACUCCUACUCCAUAUAGUCUUAGGCGUCCCGGAUGUUCAGGAUCCAUGAUGGUUGAAAAUGCAUCAACAUACUGGUCAUUUGUGCUCAUUUGUUUUUCAAUUUCCUCCAUUUCAGCCUACAAAAGCAUAUCCAACAAACACAAUCUUAUAAAUUAAAAUUUAAAAUAAAUAACUGAUCUCAAUUAAAAAAUUGAAAAUAGACAGUACUCAUACAAUUUUACUAGUAGUAUUUUCAUUCGAAGCCUUGUACAAACGCCCGGGUUUUCUUGUUCUUGUAACCACAAAGAGAUCCUUAGAUGAUACUGUCUCCUUUUCUUUCUCCUAGUCACAUUGCAAUAUGUAUUAGAAAUUGUUUAAAUGCCAUGUUAAUACUAGACAAUAAAUAAGAGAACACACCAGCUUAUUACAGACUAAAGCGAAACUCUUUUUGCCAGCAGUGUGUGGAUUCAUCAGCUUUUUUCGAUUCUUAGUUUUUGUUUCAGACAUUUUCUGCAAAGAAGUGAAUCAAUAAUGUUAAUCGAAGGCAUAUUAGUGCUAUGUAGUGUACUAGACGAGGUCAUUAUCUCAAUAUUUAUUUUUCAACAAGUCCAACUGAAUAAAAAGAGCGAGUAAACAGAUUUGGAAGGCUGCAACAAUUAUCAAACUCACAACAUGAGCGAAUCAAUAAUGUGUCUUGUAAACAAGUUGUUUUAAUUGUGACUUCCACACCAAUGAAGAAAGAAGAAACAACAUAUUACAAUAGAAAAGAGAAAGUAAAAGAAAAGAUAAAGCAGCAGCAGCAACGAUAACACAAAAGAGAUCACGAAAUGAGUAAGCUGAAAAUUUGAUAUUCUAAACUACAUUUUUACCUUGAAUUUUUUCCAGACUUCCAAUAAUUGAGGAGCUCUCUAAAUUGACAUUCUGGAAUAUGACCAGGCCUGUUUUCCAUUCGAACUUUAUCAUUAUCAUAUGGAUCGUAAUAAGUCAUCUUCAAAUCACUUCUAUGUCUUCUCCAAGCCUCUCGAAUUGUUACCAUAGUCCAAUUGUACGCAACUUCAGGAAUAAUGUAUUUCUCCUAUAAUUUUGUGUCAUUCGCUUAGCCAAUAGAAGUAAAAUACUUUUACAAAUAAUUUAAUAUUGUAAACUACAAACCUUGGUAUAAUCCCAUAGAUCUUGUUUAGUGUCCAUGCUCCUCCAAUCUAAUAUAUCAAAUAGGCAAAGAGUCGCAUUUCUAGCCAAUGUUCCUAGGAAGCUGCUUAAUUCUAUGACAACAUCAUCAGUAGGACCAACAUGCUGAUUUUCCCUAUUCAGUAGGAUCAAUUUACGCUCUUUUCGAGCAUGUACAUUAUGCAUUUGCGUUCUACCUCUUUUAUUUUGAGUGGAAACGUCUUCAGCUAUAAGAAAAUACAAGAAAUAUAAUUAGAAAUCAAGGAUACAUUUAAUAAGUUUCUAAGCUUAUAUGUUACCUUGUUCUUCAGGUUGAUUAUCUGUUUGAGGAGUGACAGAAUUCAUUUGCACUUGAUCCACGGAAGGCUGCUCCUCGACAGGCUGAUCCUCGACAGGCUGCUCCUCGACAGGCUGCACCUCUACAGAUUGUCUAUUUGCUUCAGAUUGUGGUGCUAUUGGUUGUUGCACUUCAAGUAAUUUAAGCAAAUGUCCUUUCUCGCACUCUAUAGCUUGAACAAUUUCAUUUGUUGUCAAUAACCGCCAUUUCUUAUUUGCCAAGAAUGAUAGCGAUCCUGGUUUAGCGAAUGUCUUAUUUUUUGCUUUUUUGUUUCUUUUUGAAGGUUCUUGUUGACUCAUGACUAUUCAAACCUAUGUAAAAAUAGGGACUACAGAAGUUACAGAAGUUGUACUAUUCACCAAGGUCUUACCAAUAACAUUUUUUAUCUGUAAAAUUUUAAACCAAAUAUUUAACUCUAUUUAAUAAUCAUAUCAGUUUUAUGAAACAAAGAGCUGAAAACAAAAUGUACCCUUAAGUAGCAGCAAUAGCAACAACAUAUUAUCAAGAGCUUAGAAGAAAAUAAAUAUAAAACUAGUUUGAAAUCUAACUUUUGAAAGCCUGCUACUUAAUGACCUCAAUGGGAUUUCAAAGAAAUGACAGAAGUUGUAAAGAGAAGUAUUAGCAAAGAAAUAUUCAAAGAAUCAUAAUAAAGAGAUAAGAACCUGGUGUUUUGGACCUUAAUAAAGAGAUAAGAGCCUGGUGCUUUGCUGGUACACUGUGAUGUUGAAGUUUGCUCAGAGAAACUGCAGAAAGAAGAAUAAUGAAAAUGAAUAAGAGAGAAAAAGACUUAGCAAAAGUACUAAUCCCAAAACAAGAAAUGAAGGACCACAAAGAAAGAUUUCAUAACAUAUCCAACAAUUUUUAGCACAUGUGUAUUAUUAAAGUUGCAGUAAUUUAGAGAUAACUUGAAAACAAAACAUAUUAAUAGAAAUAAAAAGAAGAGAUAGCAAGUCCAAUCAACAUUCAUAAUUUAUAUGAUGCAACUCAAAAGGAUAUUCAUUACUUACAACAACAAAAAAACAAGAAGAGAAUGUAUUUGAACAAGUUCACAAGAUCUUUUGUCAAUCAUCAACUUCCAUCCAAUCCCAAUCAGUAUCAUCAAAGUCAUCCUCCUCUUCCGAUGUUUCCAUUGCUAUAUCUUGUGAAUGUUGUGCAAUGGAAGGAACAUCGAUGAUAUCAACAGGGAGAUCUUCUUUCGACCAUCUAACAUCUACAUCAAAUAAUCUUUCUGAUGAACCAAUAUCAUCAUUAGGCUCUCUCCAAAAUGUUUCUUCAAUAUUAGGACAACUCUGUUCCUCCAAAUCAUACAAAUCCACUGGGACUUUGUUUCUUGCAUAAUAAACAUUUUUCUCAAUUGGGUCUUCCACAUAAAAAACUUGAUGCACUUGAGAUGCUAGUACAAAAGGAUCAUCUGUACUACAUUUUUUGUUGAAUAUACCCGAGUCAAUCCAUAUUCAUCGACUUCAUUAUGAAACCAAUCACAUUUAAAAAGUACAACACUUAAGCAACCCCAAUAAUCAGUCUCAAUGAUAUCCUGAAUAAUUCCAUAAUAGAUAACCAUUCCAUCGACAUAAUUUUGGUCCCUAGCACUAGCAAAACUAUCUGUUGUUGCUGACAAAGUCACUCCACUAUUUUGAGUUUUGCAAGGGGCAUCCCGUGUCUUCGUAUGAAAUUGAUAUCCAUUAAUGAAAUAUCCAGUAUAUCUUUUUGCCACAAAGUUAGGCCCUUUAGCUAGCCAUCUUAAAUGAUUGGACACUUCAAUAUUUUUAACUUUGUCCCUAAACCAAUCGCCAAAUUCUCUACUAUGGACCCGUGCUUUUACCCAUGCAUUUCCUCUAGCACGAUUAUCAAUUAAACUCUUAUGUUCCCUGUAAGCAUGUAAUGUAAUUUCAUCAAUGUGUAUUUAUAAAUGAAAUGAAAUUUGAAAUACAUUAUCAUAACAUCUAAAUUAUGUUUAAAAACAAACUACUAUUUUAUCUUACUUGAUGAAUGUCUCUACUUGUUCAUCUCCGGUAUUGAACAAAGUAUAUCGAUGUGCUUCAAACCACUCAUGCUGCUCCAUGGUAAUAGAUUUGCCUUUCCUUAUAUUCUCACUUCCGAUUGGAUGACCUGUCUUAGGAAAUAAAGGUGAAGCAUCUCUUUCCUCUGUUUGAUUGUCCUCAUCAUCCUCGGUUUGAUACCUACUAAAUGUUGUCUUCACCAUAUCAGGUAGGUAUCUCGAAAUAAAGGUCAAACACACUAUAGCUGAAAAACCCUCUACUAUUGCCCCUUCUGAAUUUUUUCGAUUACGAACAAGCCCCUUGAAGUCACACAUAGUUCUUUCGAUUACGAACAAGCCCCUUGAAAUUACACAUAGUUCUUUCAGUAGAAUACAUCCAACGCAAAUGAGUUGGGCCUCCAAGCUUAAUUUCAUCUACUAGAUGGAUAGGCAAAUGUGUCAUUAUAUCAAAAAAAGUGGAGGAAAAAUCUUUUCAAGCUCGCAUUCAAUAUCUAUGAUUUCUGUUUUAAUCUUAUCAAGAUCGCUUCUUCUUAUAACCUUGCUACAUAUGGCUCUAAAAAAAUUUCCCAACCUAAUCAAUACCAUAGAUACAUUCUUGGGUAAUACUUUUCUGACUGCAACCUGGAGCAAGUAAUGCAUUAUGAAAUGAGCAUUAUGACUUUUGUAUCCUGAUACUUUCAUCUCUUCAAUUUGAACACGACUUGAUAUAUUAGAGGCACACCCUUUUGGUAAUUUGGCAUCUUUUAAGACAGUGCAAAAUAACUUUUUCUCUGAUGGUUUCAUAGAGAAACAAGCUUUAGCUAGAUGGAUAUUUCCUGUAGCACAAUCUUUUACAGGUUGAAGCUCUUUACGUAUCCCCAUUUCAUACAAGUCAUAGCGAGAAUUUAUAUGAUCUUUGGACUUUCCAAGUAUAUCCAAUAAAGUCCCAACCAAACUGUCACAAAUAUUCUUCUCUAUGUGCAUCACGUCAAGAUUGUGCCUCAAUUUGUUGGUUGCCCAAUACGGCAACUCAAAAAAUAUGGAUUUUUUUUCCAUGGACCAUCAUUCUUUUGUUUUCUUUUCUUGUUGUUCUUUCCAAAAACAUUAUUGAAUUCACGAAGCUCUUCAAGAACUUGUACCCCUGAUAAUGGAGUAGGUGUAACUUUAUGCUCCUCUUUACCAUUAAAUGAUUUUUUAUCUCUUCUAAAUGGAUGAUCGGAAUGUAAAAAUGCCCGAUGACCCAAGUAACACAUCUUACAACUAUGUUUGAGAUAUUGGGAGCAAGUAUUAUGAUUACAAGUGGGGCAUGCCCAUCUCCCCUUGGUGCUCCAUCCAGAAAGCAUUGCUAGAACUGGAAAAUCACUAAUUGUCCACAAUAAAGCUGCACGCAUUUGAAAUGUUUGAUUAGUUACAACAUCAUAUGUUUCAAGUCCGACUCCCCAUAGUUCCUUCAACUCUGCAAUCAAUGGUUGCAAGUAUACAUCUAUAUCAUUUCCCGGAGACGAUGGACCUGGAAUAAUCAUUGACAACAUAAUAUUCUCCGACUUCAUGCAACUCCAUGGUGAUAAAUUAUAGUUCAUUAACAUAACUGGCCAUGUGCUAUGGGAAAAGCUCAUAGUUCUGAAUGGAUUGAAACCAUAACUUGAAAGACCCAAUCUAACAUUACGAGCAUCAUUAGCAAAUUCAGGAUGCAAGGAAUCGAAAUCCUUCCAAGCUUCACCAUCUGCAUAAUGUCUUAAAUUUCCAUCUUUAGGUCGUUCAGUAUCAUGCCAUCUCAUAGCUACAGAUGUUUCAGAACACAUGGAUAUCCUCUGAAGCCUAGGCUUUAAAGGAAAGUACCUUAAAACCUUCACUGGGAUUUUAGUGACCUUAUUAGUUAAGUCAUUACGAACAUUCUUCCAUCUUGAAGCUCCACACACAGAGCAAUUAUCUAACUUAGCAUUGUCAUUCCAAAAUAACAUGCAAUCGUUAGUGCAAGCAUGAAUUUUCUCAUAAUGAAGACCCAAAUCUUUUAUGACCUUUUUUGCCUUGUAAAAAGACUCGGGUAUCUGAGCAAGUGGAAAUGCCUCUCUUAUCAGGUCCAACAAAUCUGAAAAGGCCACAUCAGUCAACUUGUGAAUGCAUUUGAACAAGUAUACCCGGAUGGUAAAACUCAACUUAGAAAAAUUCUUACACCCCGGAUACAACUCUUCUUUCCCUUCCUCCACUAAUUUAGAAAAUCUCUUUGCAUAUUUAGAUGGUCCCUCUCUCACUCCUUUAUGCCUCUGGUCAUCUUCUACAUUUCUAAAAGUAUUAUGAAGUAGUCUAUCAAUAUCAUCAUUCAUGUUGGAAGUUUCUUCAUCAUUGGUUGGAUGUGGCGUAUUUCUUGAGGAAAAUCCUUCUCCAUGAAAAACCCAUUUGGUGUAUCCAUGAACAAAUCCAUGACAAAUUAAGUGACCCUCUACCAUAUCUCGACAAUGCCAAUUACGAUUAAAGUACUUCUUACAAGGACAUAAUAUUUCAUUUCCUUAGGAAGCUCGUUCAAAUGCUUUAUCAAAAAAAUCAUUAACUCCAUGAAUAUAUUCAUUGGUGAAUCUUCGGAGAUUCAUCCAACUUUUAUCUCCAAAAUCCAUUGAAUAUAUAUAUCCUACAUGACAUGUGCAAAUCAUCAAAGCCAAUAAAUUCAUGAGUACAGGAAAUAUCAAGAGAACUUAACCUUUCAAAGUUUUAGAUUAAUUGAAUAUCAAAUCUCCGCAUCAAUUCAACACCAAACAAUGGCAGUAUUAAUAGUAGAAUACCAAAAAUAUUGACAAGUUAAGUUAUUAGCAGCUUCUACCAUUUAAGAAACUUUAUACAAAUGAAUGAAAAAAAAUCAGAAGAAAAACUAAUUAUAGAAAAAAGUAUUCCAAUAUUUAGUGUACACCUUAACAUUUUUCAAAUUCUAAUUACCUUCCUAUGCUUGGCUACUAAGAUACAAUAAUAGUAGACCAAAUACUUCAAAUUGUGUAUUAUUUUUUUGGCAAAAUGUGUAAUGAUUAUUGUAUAAGCUAAACUUUUUUAUAUGAUUAUAUUUAGAGUUUAGACUGUCAAAGAAAUCGGACAGUUGACGAUUGCACCAAUACAUACACAUUGUUAAUUAGAAGAGUUUCACCUAUCUUAUGCAUGCUACUCUCACAAUCCAAAAUUGCAACAGAAUCAUAAAUAAAUAGUGUAAUCAGAAUCUUCAUCUACAUAGCUACCCCUGAAAUGGAUAUUAACAUCAAAAGGUAGAGGGAAUAAACUCAAACGCACACAAGAAGUAAAUUCAGUGAAAUUCUCUUAGACUCUAGCAUGAAAAUUCUUCCUGAAAUUUUCAAAUCUGAUCAGUCCAGCAUAAUCAGUUUAUUGUAUAGAAAAAGAUGACAAGUAUCUUAGACUUUUUUUUACCUGAAAUAUAUCCUGUGCGUGAUUUUGAGGGGAAAAAAUCAACUACAUAUCGAAAUUUCUCUCAUAAAACUAAAAUUCACUCUCUCAAAGACUUUUGCUUGAGAGUUCUCAAAUCUCCACCAAACAUGAAAUACAAACUAUAACCCUAGAUUAUAUGGCAGACCUAGAUUAGAACAAAUAACAUAGAUUUAAGACAAACCCAUAUAUUAUUCUUUACGAUUUUUCAAAAAUCAUUCAAUGGGGACUUAGAAAUCAUUAACUAGCAGAGAAAACAUAAAAUUUACUCACCUUUACAUCCAAGAAUUUGUUAUCGAAAGACCAGUGGAGCUUCAACUGAAGUAAAAGAUAUCAAUGCCCAAGAAAUUUGUUGUCGAAAGACCAACGAGCUUCACCAGAGAGAUUUCUUCACCAAGAACUUCGCUGUUGUUUCCUUCACCAAGAACUUCGCUGAGAAUUUGUAGAACAGAACAACAUUUGGGAAAAAGUGUGCUUUAAUUUGGUUGAAAAAGGGUUUUAUGGGAAAGGCCUUUUUUCUUUUAGAUUUUUUUAAUGACAUAUAUAUUUUUGGGGAGGGAAAUAUAUUUUAGGGAUAAAAAUCAGAACCACAAUAUUUGUCCUAAAAUAAUCGUUGCCAUAGAGUCAUCUAUUGCAACGAUUCUAAAAUAUGUAGCCAUAGAAACUCUAUAGGGACGGUUAUAUGGAUGAUGCCACGGUUCAUUUUAAGAAUUGUUCUAUUAAAUCCAAUGAUAUAUUGCAACAUUUAUAACCGUUGUAAUAGGCAAUCUAUUGCUACGAUUGUAUAGCCGUUGCUACAUAAGCGUUGCAGUAAGUCAAAUUUCUAGUAGUGACACAUGAGGAGGGAUGGCACACUGCGAAAGGGAAAUCAACAAUCAAACACACUCAUACUGAUGAAGAUAUGGGGCGAUAGAUUAGAAUAAGAGACAGUUUCAACACAAUGGAGGAGGGUGAGUAUCUAAAUGUGUGUGAAAUUGGUUAGGGUAGUGAAGACAUAAGGGGAGGUAACAAUAGGCAAGUCCCACAAACUAACACUGGAUGAAUAUAAUAGCAUAGAAUGUGAGGGGACUAAAUAAAGUGUAUAAACACAAGGAGCUUAAGGUGUUUCUAUAAGAAAAUAAAGUAGGAGUAAUUGUUAUUACAGAAACUAGAGUUAAAGAGAAUAAUGCAGCUCAAGUUGUGAAGAAGAUAACAAAGAAUUGGAUAUGGCAUAACAAUUAUGUUGAGGAUCCAGGGGGGAGAAUUUGGAUAUUAUGGAAUCCAAUAGUGGUGGAAUUCCAAUUAUUGGGCACACACAUACUAGUGAUUCAUGGUUCAGUAAAGGUGAGAGGUAGUGACAUGAUAUUUGAUCUAAGCAUGGUUUAUGGCCUACAUACAUGUCUGGAUAGAAGGGACAUGUGGUAUGAGUUGAAUCAAUACAAUAUGAGGUGCAGACAGCCUUGGUUAGUAAUGGGUAAUUUCAACUCUAUUUUGCAUGUUGAGGACAAAAUAGUGGGCUCACAAGUUCAGGAGACAGAACUAAGAGAUUUUAAGCAAUGUUUACUAGACACUAGGUUACCAGAAUUGAAGACUGUGAGUAGGAACUAUACUUGGACAAAUGGCCACACUUAUAGUAGUAUAGAUAAAGCCUUGGUGAAUGCUAUGUGGUUGCAAUCCUGGACCCAUUUGGAGUGCAGCAUACUUGAUCCUAGAUUUUCAGAUCAUAGCCAUUUGUGUGUAACAAUAGAAGCAAGGGAGAAUACUGGACCUAAGCCAUUCAGAUUCUUCAACUACUUGGCUGAACACCCGGAGUUCAUGCAGACAGUGGAGAAUAACUGGAAAUCACAAAGACAGGCUAGCUCUAAGAAUGAGGUUUGGAGGAAAAUAAAAAGGUUGAAACAACCUAUGAGGGGUUUGAGUAAUCAUAAUUUUCAAGGGAUUCAAUAUAGAGUAAUAUGAUUAGGACUCAAUUGAAGAUGCUACAGGAACAAAUGAGGUAUGUCCGAGAUGAUAACCAAGUGAAGCAAUAUUAGAUGGAAAAGAACCUCAAAACACAAUUGGAAAAGUGGAGAAAUAUAGAGGAGAGUGCAACCAAACAUAAAUCCAGGGUUCUGUGGUUAAAAGAAGGUGAUUUAAAUACUACAUACUUCCAUGCAUGCAUGAAGAAUAGACAAGUACACAAUCAUAUCACAAGAUUGACAGAUGCAGCUGGAAUAGUAAUGCAGGAUGUCAAAGGUAUACAAGAGGAGAGAGUGAGUUUCUACAGAGGUCUAUUGGGUACAAAAGCAAAGCAACUAACCCCUGUCCAGCCUCAUAUCAUAGAAUUGGGACCAACUUUGAAUAGAGAACAACAAUUAUUAUUGAUUGACAAGGUUACAACAAAAGAUGUGUACAAUGCUCUGUUGACUAUUCAGGAUAACAAGGCCCCAGGAGGUGAUGGUUUUAAUGCUCUAUUUUAUAAUAAAACAUAGCCUAUAAUAGGUAAGGAGAUCACUCAAGUUGUGUUACACUUCUUUGAUACUGGAAUAAUGUGUGAUGCUAUAAAUUGUGCUCUUAUCACUUUGAUUCCAAAGACUAAGCAUCCUCAAUCAGUGAAAGAGUAUAGGCCAAUAUCAUGAUGCACCAUUCUAUACAAGAUUAUUUCCAAGAUCUUAACUAUAAGAAUGCAAUCUGUGAUGGACACAUUGAUAGAUCCUAGCCAAGCAGUUUUUGUACCAGGGAGAGUAAUAAUGGAUAACAUUUUACUUAGCGAUGAAUUGGUGAAAGGAUAUGGCAGGAAAGGUAUAUCUCCUAGAAGCAUGAUGAAGAUUGUCAUGCAGAAGGCAUAUGAUUAUUUUGAGUGGCCUUUUGUUGAACAAAUUCUGAGACUAUUAAACUUCCCAACUAAAUUUAUUAAUUGGAUUAUGGCUUGCCUCACAACUGUGUCCCAUUUAAUACUAUCCAAUGGUGUGCCUGCUAGUCCUUUUAAGGCAAAAAAAGGUUUAAGGUAUGGGGAACAUGUGUCCCCAUAUUUUUUUGUUCUGAGUAUGGAGUAUCUGAGUAGACUACUGAAGAACAUGAAGUGGACUAGGGAAAUGCUCAAAGGUGAACAUAGUCCAGUUGGGUUUUGCUGAUGAUCUCCUACUAUUUUGCAGAGGUGAUGCCAGAUCUGUCCAAUUAUUGUUUGAUACCUUCCAAGAAUUCUCAAAGGCAUCAGGAUUGAUAGUAAAUACCAGCAAAAGAUCCAUAUACUUUAGAGGAGUAAGCAUUACUGAACAAGAUGAAAUAAUGGCAUACACAGGAUUUAGUAGAGGGAAAAUGCCUUUUAGAUAUCUUGGGGUACCUCUUAGUACAAAACGACUAUCCAUUGCUCAAUGUGAACCAUUGUUGGAAAAGAUACUAUGCUGGAUUUCUUCAUUGACAACAAAGUUCCUAUCUUAUGUUGGUAGAGCCCAAUUGAUAAGGAGUGUACUGAUAUCAAUGCAAACAUAUUGGUCACAAAUUUUCAUCUUACCAAAGAAGAUAUCACAAUUGAUUGAUCAGAUGUGUAAAAGAUUUUUGUGGACCGGGAAGGCAGAAGUAACAAAGAAAGCAUUAGUAGCUUGGAGUAGACUAUGUCAACCUCAAUCAGCAGGUGGGAUGAAUAUGAUUGAUAUGGAAAUAUGGAACAAAGUUGCAAUCAGCAAGCUGUUACGGAAUAUGUGUACAAAGAAGAAUAAAAUAUGGAUCAAGUGGAUCUAUGCAUAUUAUGUGAAGGGUAGAUGUACUUGGGAAAUAGAACCAAAGAAGGCAUCGUGAGUGAUGCAGGAGAUAUUUAAGGCAAACAAAUAUUUCAUAGAUGCUGACAUACCUUUGGAGACAGUACAUACAAUGUCCAGAUUGACCAUUAAAAGCAUAUAUCAAAAGUUACAAGGACAAUUUGAAAAGGUUAGUUGGAAGGGAGUUAUAUGUGGUAACCAAGGUGCACCUACAUGGAUAUUUAUGUUGAGAUAAGUCGCAUUGGGAAAAAUAUACACUUGUGAUAGACUGGCCAAAUGGGGAAUGGGCGUAAACUUACAAUGCCAACUGUGCAAUAAUUAUCUUGAGUCUAUUCAACACCUAUUCUUUGGGUGCAACUACACGGGACAACUAUGGGCUAGGCUACUCAAAUGGAUGCACAUCCAAAGACCAUGUAUGGAGUGGGAGGGGGAACUCAAAUGGGUGGAGAAGUGGUGUAAAAGGAGAAGUAGCAGGGCUAAGGUUUACAAAAUAACACUAGCUGCAGCACCUCAAAAUAGGCUAUAUAUCCAAAUGUUUAGAUGUUAUCCAUUUUCUAGAUUGGUAGCGGAGAUAGAUGCUAAGAUAAUCAGGAGCUAGGUAUGUCCAAUCAUGUAUGUCUUUUAUUGUAACUUGAGCUGUAAUUCUUACUUGGUAAUAAAUAUUUUUAUCUACCAAAAAAAAAGA